UGUGUUUACUUUGGCUGCACAACAUACUGAAGCUAGAAUGGUAUGGAGAUUAGCAUGGCCGCUGCACAAAGAUGAAAUGCAAAUUCGUGAAGCACUCCUUAUUUUA